AAGUCGUAACAAGGUCUCCGUUGGUGAACCAGCGGAGGGAUCAUUACAGAGUUCCUUCACGAGACUCCCAAACCAUUGUGAACAUACCCGUCAUCGUUGCCUCGGCGGGCGUCCCCUCGGGGGUGUCCGCCGCUGGCCCACCAAACUCUUUUUAUUGUUAGGGACUCUCUGAGACAACAAGCAAAUAAGUUAAAACUUUCAACAACGGAUCUCUUGGUUCUG
rnacentral:misc_RNA from 1 species